GCCGGGCAUGGUGGCACAGGCCUGUAAUCCCAUUGGCUCAGGAGGCUGAGACAGGAGGAUCUCGAGUUCACAGUCAGCCUCAUCAACAGUAAGGUGCUAAGCAACUCAGUAAGACCCUGUCUCUA
rnacentral:sRNA from 1 species